UACGUAGGUGGCAAGCGUUGUCCGGAUUUAUUGGGUUUAAAGGGUGCGUAGGCGGCUUUGUAAGUCAGUGGUGAAAUAUGGCAGCUCAACUGUCAAGGUGCCAUUGAUACUGCGGAGCUUGAGUACAGAUGAGGUAGGCGGAAUUGACGGUGUAGCGGUGAAAUUCGUAGAUAUUCGCAAGAACACCAGUGGCGAAGGCGGCUUACUGGUCCGGUUCUGACGCUGAGGCGCGAAAGCGUGGGGAGCAAACAGG
rnacentral:rRNA from 1 species